rnacentral:lncRNA from 1 species
UGAUGGUGGGGAUGGAUGAAAGUCAAGUUUCUAUCAUUACUUAUAGUCUAGCAGUGUUUUCUGAGUGGUUUUGGAGAAAAACUUGGAAGGUAAGGGGGCAGCCAGGGUGAUUACUUCAGUUUGAAUAACAACAGUAUCCAAAUGUGCAGCAUAAAAUCUGUUUUUGUGAUCCUCAUCACACUUAGGAAAUCAUUUGUGUGGCUCCUCAUUGUGAACCUCUUGAUCGUGGUGAGCAGCACUGACAUGUGGCUCAGAGAAUGAAAGAAGGAGAACAAAGACAGUGCUGAAACACUUUUCUUCUCAUGCUGAGGGUGGCAAUGUGCUUCUGUGGAGGAAGGAUCUUAUGAACACUUGGGUGUUAUGUGUGCUGCAUCCUUACAGAUGGCUCAAAAGCCUGGACACUGGGCACAAGCUCUUAUUCCUGUGGAAUGCUGCUAUUUCGGUGACUUAUGGUGAUGACCUAGUCCCACAUAAAGGACUCUUAACCUGAAUAAUCACUUACCUAGAGAUGCACCAAACAAGCUUUUGGCAAUUGAAAAAGGGUCCAAAGAAUCUCCCACUGGUAAAUAUUUUAUAUUA